CCCAGUGACUCUUUUAAACGGCCGCGGUAUCCUAACCGUGCAAAGGUAGCAUAAUCACUUGUCUCUUAAAUAGAGACUAGAAUGAAUGGCUAAAUGAGGACUAAUCUGUCUCUUACGGACCAACCAAUGAAAUUAAUCUUUCAGUACAAAAGCUGAAAUAAAAACAUAAGACGAGAAGACCCUGUGGAGCUUCAAACCAAACACACCCUGCAUGCUCCUCAGGUUUUUAGUUGGGGCGACUUCGGAGCACAAUAAAACCUCCAAAAUUUUUUAUCUUCAAGAUUAACAAACCAAAAACUUUAUUAGACCCAGCAAUGUAUAACAUUGUCUGACCACUGAACCAAGUUACCCCAGGGAUAACAGCGCCAUCCCCUCCUAGAGUCCAUAUCGACAAGGGGGUUUACGACCUCGAUGUUGGAUCAGGACACCCCAAUGGUGCAGCCGCCAUUAAAGGUUCGUUUGUUCAACGAUUAAUUAGUCC
rnacentral:rRNA from 1 species